rnacentral:rRNA from 1 species
UACGUAGGGGGCAAGCGUUGUCCGGAAUCAUUGGGCGUAAAGCGCGUGUAGGCGGCUUGAUAAGUCUGCUCUGAAAGCCCGGGGCUCAACCCUGGGAGGCGGGUGGAUACUGUCGAGCUCGAGUCCGGAAGAGGCGAGUGGAAUUCCUGGUGUAGCGGUGAAAUGCGCAGAUAUCAGGAGGAACACCGGUGGCGAAGGCGGAUCUCUGGGCCGGCACUGACGCUGAGGAGCGAAAGCGUGGGGAGCGAACAGG